ACUCAGGUUUGAACUGGCAGGCAGGCACCCUCAAACCCACCUGCCAGAUGGCAACGACCACACCCACUUCACCAAGUGUCGCGGACACUAAACAGGGCAGUGUGGAAAACACACGUUGGUUCUGUUGCAGCUCAAUCAUUCGGUUUAUCUUUAGAGCAGAAGAAGAUUCUGGGAUGAACGUCUGGGGCUGGAGAUUCAAAACAACCAUAAGUUCCUGUAAUGUUCAAUUUUGGUUUGAAGCAAUGGCUGAAAGACAAACUGCUUUCCAACAGGUCUUCCAUGAGAGCUGGGAGAAGGCCACUGACACAGCUAUGGCACGGUGGACAGAGGACAGGAGCUGGAGACCUGCAGACCCUGGCUUUAGUCAAAACAACAGACUUUGAAAAUGGUUCUGGACAAAGCGGAAGUCAAGGUGGGUGUUCAUAAGGUGACGGAACAAGUAAAACUGGGAGUGAUAUCAGGUGGCCCCGAGAAGGGUGGAAUUAUUAACCACAGCUGUGUGGCCUGGCCUUUGCAGGUUCUCUCCAGGUCUGACCGGCCAGUGAGGGAAUACAUCAUUUCCUGUCAUGAUAUUCUAAUGGGCAGAUCCCAGGACUCGAACGACGGGGAGGGGCCAGGUCUCCCUCACACUAGGUUUUGUGCUUUUUUCUACUUCACUGAGCACAGUCUGGAUCUGCACGCCAUCCUAGAGGAGCCAAUCUCUAGGAUCACUUAAUUAUAUAUUUUGUUCUAGAGUUUAAGGUCCACAGGUAAACUCCUGCAGACUGCUCACCAGCGUUCCUAUUCUA